rnacentral:lncRNA from 1 species
UUGAGCUGUGACGCUAGAGUCCUUAUCAGUCGGUCACACGCGCGAAUCAGGGAUCCGGGAGGCAUGUGUACUCGUGACAUUAGGCUUAUCUACUUUAUCUACGAGGCAAAGGAUUGGAUUCGCUCUUAUAUCAACAUCGUAACUCAAAUGUUUCAAAUGUGUUCAUGAAACUGAUUUUUAAACCCUGAAUAAUUUCAGUGUGCCGAGACUUAAAAAAUAUUGGCACCAGGAUUGUAUUCGCUAAGCACUUAUGAUGUUCUCCAUCGGUGCAACAGAACUCCUUGCCUGCCGAGAAGCUGGUGGGCGUCCAUUCACCGCCGCAGUUCUUUAUGAAGAGGAACGCCUUUUCUCUGUGCACGUCGCGCUCAACCGCCCCGCAGAUGACAGGGCCGGCUCGAGGGAGAUACUUCAAGAUCUAUAGAAGAUACAAAAUAUGACUGAUAGAUCAAACUUUCUCGUUAUUUACUAAAGAAGAGUAAAAAGGUGAUUAACUGUUAAAUUAUAAUAAUAAAUUGAUUAUUCAUAAGUUGGUGGCCAUUUCAC